rnacentral:rRNA from 1 species
AGCAUCUAGCUGACUUUAGCAAUCUCAGAAAGCUAAGCAAGACAGGACCUGGACAGUACUUGGAUGGGAGACCACCAAUUCAUCUCAGGGCUAUAUGCUA